AGGACAACAGGUACAGUGUUCUGUUCUCUCUCAGUGUGCACAGCCAGCUGGACUGCCGAUGAGGUCGUGGGCUCACGGAGCAGAGCUGCUGCCUUCAGGAGAAACAAAGAAACGCCCCCUUGUCCCCCCACCCAAGAGAAAACAUGGGGCAUGAGAGCUACAGAGGACCUGGAUUCCCAGCACCCACAUGGCAGCUUACAACCAUCCCUAACUCAGGUUCCAGGGAAUCGAAGGCCCUCUUCUCACCUCCUUGGGCACUGGACAUGCACGUGGUGCACAGACAUACAUGAAUGCAAAAUAAUUUUUAAAACUUUCAAUAAAUAAAUGGUUAAUUAA